rnacentral:sRNA from 1 species
GUCACAGCACCCUCCUGAAAACUGCAGCUUCCUUCUCACCUUGAAGAAUAAUCCUAGAAAACUCACAAAAUGUGUGAUGCUUUUGUAGGUACCUGGAAACUUGUCUCCAGUGAAAACUUUGAUGAUUAUAUGAAAGAAGUAGGAAUUUGACGAAGUCACUGCAGAUGACAGGAAAGUCAAGAGCACCAUAACCUUAGAUGGGGGUGUCCUGGUACAUGUGCAGAAAUGGGAUGGAAAAUCAACCACCAUAAAGAGAAAACGAGAGGAUGAUAAACUGGUGGUGGAAUGCGUCAUGAAAGGCGUUACUUCCACGAGAGUUUAUGAGAGAGCAUAAGCCAAGGGACGUUGACCUGGACUGAAGUUCGCAUUGAACUCUACAACAUUCUGUUGGAUAUAUUGUUCAAAAAGAUAUUGUUGUUUUCCAUGAUUUAGCAAGCAACUAAUUUUCUCCCAAGCUGAUUUUAUUCAAUAUGGUUAUGUUGGUUAAAUAAACUUUUUUUAGAUUUAGAA